GCCAGACAUAGUGGAGCAUGCCUAUAGUCCCAGCUACUUUGGGAAGCUGAAGCUCUGGGAGGACUGCUUGACCCUGUGUUAAGGGUGCAAUGAGCCGUGAUCAUGCCACCAAACUCCAGCCUCCACACUCCAGCCCGGGCAACAGCAGGACACCCUGUCUCAAAAAAAAAAAAAAAAAAGACAA